GAUGAACGCUGGCGGCGUGCCUAAUACAUGCAAGUCGAGCGAACAGACGAGGAGCUUGCUCCUCUGACGUUAGCGGCGGACGGGUGAGUAACACGUGGAGAACCUACCUAUAAGACUGGGAUAACUUCGGGAAACCGGAGCUAAUACCGUAUAAUAUAUUGAACCGCAUGGUUCAAUAGUGAAAGACGGUUUUGCUGUCACUUAUAGAUGGAUCCGCGCCGCAUUAGCUAGUUGGUAAGGUAACGGCGUACCAAGGCAACGAUGCGUAGCCGACCUGAGAGGGUGUACGGCCACACUGGAACUGAGAGACGGUCCAGACUCCUACGGGAGGCAGCAGUAGGGAAUCUUCCGCAAUGGGCGAAAGCCUGACGGAGCAACGCCGCGUGAGUGAUGAAGGUCUUCGGAUCGUAAAACUCUGUUCUUAGGGAAGACCAAAUGUGUAAGUAACUAUGCACGUCUUGACGGUACCUAAUCAGAAAGCCACGGCUAACUACGUG
rnacentral:rRNA from 1 species